CAUCGCUGGCUUGUACUUCAAUUCACCAACACACGUUUGAAUUUAAAGACGGACACACCUCGUCGUCGUCGUCCAAACGGACUCUUUUCAGGGCCACUAUUUCGUGGGUUUCUCUGUUUUUAGCCUUGAAUACAGUCCCAUACGUGCCUGUGGAAUUAGUUUGGAAAUAAUCAUGGAUCGUAUUUAACUAGUUAUGUCGUCCACCGACAAAUAUAUACUAUCCACGAACACGUAUACACGGAUCUCCCGUUGUUCUUGACUAAAUGUGAAAUUCGAGCAAAGAAAAGCAGUUUUAAAAAAAAUAAUGUCAGCUAACAGGUAAGCUACAGCUAUGCGACAACCGCAUAUACACGUUAGCUUUACGUGGAAAAAAUGUGUCUAAAAACAAAAACUUACCCUCGCCGAUUUUUUCGAGUUUUUCAUAUUUCUGCAUGGUCACCCAGGUUUAGCCAAUUAGAUUGAACUAGUAACCAAGCCCCGAAUUUAGUGAAGUGGUUACGGUACGACAGCUAGCGUUAGCUAGACGCUAGCGACACUUGCUGCUGUGGAGAAUUCUGGACAACCGAACCUCUUGGCGCCCCCUACAUACCGAACCUUGUACUACAUCAGCUCUCUGUCUUCGGAUCAGGUCAGAAUAAAGUCCUCUUCGGCUCAGCAGUUCAGUAAAACUCACUUCCACGAUGCGCCCGUUGCUCAUGACGCAGAUGAGGUCGGCUGCUUGUAUGGUGCUCAGGCGGUGGGCAAUGAUUAACACUGUGCGCCCCUGAGUGGCCCGGUCCAGAGCCUCCUGCACCACACGCUCUGACUCUGCAUCCAAGGCGCUGGUGGCCUCGUCCAGCACCAAGAUGCUCGGGUUCUUGAUGAGGGCCCUUGCGAUGGCGACACGCUGUUUCUGGCCGCCUGAUAAAGUCACACCUCGCUCUCCUGUGAUGCAAAGGCGAUAUAUUUAGAAUGUUAAACACCAAACCUCCACAUAAUGCAAUUUAGUACACAAGCAUUAAUCAGGGAAUAACAUUAAAAUUAUUUUUAACACAACAAACAAAAACAAAACGUUAUUAAGGUCUCAUACCGAGCACAGUGUUGUAGCCGUCUGGGAAACUUUCAAUAAAGCGGUGAGCAUUAGCUUGUUUGGCAGCCUCAAAGACCUCGGCAUCAGUGGCUUCGGGUUUUCCAAAGCGGAUGUUCUCCAUGAUGGAUGCCCCAAAAAGAACAGGCUCCUACAGAGAACAUGGCAUACUGUAGUUCAAAUUCCAAACUUUUAUUUAGGGGAAAAACAGUACACAGCUAGUCCCCGGGUUAUGGACAAGUUCCAAUCUUACGCUGGCGACAUAACCCGAAUUAAACCCGUUUCGGAAUUAACCCUUUAAGUACCCCUAAAUUUCUAUCUAAAAACAAGUAUCAUACGUCAUAUUGAUAAAUUUAAGUAAAAAAUAAGAUACUGUGAGAUGCAAUAAGGUACUGUUUACAUGACUUAAAAAAUGAAAAUAAAAUUUUAAAAAAUGAAGACAAAAUGGCGGACGAGACUCCGGUGUCGUAAAGUUGAAAUCAUGUAAAUUGGGCCCGUCGUAACCUGGGGACUACCUGUACAGAUUUUUUUUUCUUUUACUUGAUUGAUAAAUCCAAUAACUUGUCCCCUAAGCCAGCAGAGAUCAAGAGUUCGAAUGUCAAGUCCGUCCAACAUUACUACGCCGCUUGUCGGGUCAUAGAAACGCUCCAUUAAGGAUGCUACUGUAGACUUUCCUAAAACAAAUAACAUGUUAUGUGCAUAAUUGUGGUAUAUACCAAUGUCUAAUGACAUCCUUCAUUAAGAAGUACCUCCUCCAGAUUCCCCAACAAUGGCUAUUGUUUUGCCAGGUGGCAGUGUUAAGUUGAACCUCUCCAAAAUCUGAUGACCUGGUCUUGUCGGAUAGCUAAAAAUUCACAAGAAGUACAGACUCAAUGGUAUGCUUUGGAGUUUCUAAACACUACGUUUCUAAAUAAAAUUUACAACCUAAAUGAAAUAUUAAGAAAAUCAACUCUUCCUGUCAGCGAAUGGUACGGUAUACGACCUCCGCCAGAAAGGGGGAUGGAAGGCUUCAGGGACAAAUAUUCAAAAACGCGAGCACCAGCGCUUGUGCCUCUCACCAUCUGGAGGGAAUAUGUGGAACAAUGAGCAGACCAAAGUCAACAAACUGCUUAUCCUGCACCAUACUAGAAUGUACUUACUUGCCCAAAAAGGAUAGAUAUACUGGCUAAGGACCUGACAAUUAUAAUAAUAAUAAAAAUAAAUAAAUAUUGAUUAUGUAUGGCAUAUUUAUUUUGAUCAGAUUUGCUGUUUACCUCUGUACAGUCUGCGAAGCAACCAAGAAAGACAUAAGAUCUCCAGGGGACAUUUCAUUGUUUGAAAUUAGAGUUCCACCUGCAAAAAUGGUUCCAAGAACAAUGCCUGCAACAAUACAUUAAAGGGUAUGUAACGGCAAAGGGGGUGUGAGACAUCAAUAGAACCGUUAUGUGCCAAGAUAACAAAUAUUGAUAAAGUUAACAAAAAAAAAUCAAUCACAUUAAUGAGCAAUUGUCGAAAAUAGAUCGAAAAUGACGAACAUUUCCGAAAGUGUUCCGGAAACAGCCGAAUGGGGCGGCGACGUCACAACAAGUGAUUGACAGUCGAGGCGGAGCCAGGUGCCAUUGUUUUUUAUCGACGAGAGUAGCAUUCGGGUUUGUUUGACCAAAACAUCACUAAAAUGGUUAAAAACUGCUGUACUAUGUGGUGUACAAAUAGCUAUUUAUCGGAAUAUAGUAUCCAUGAGUUCCCGAAUGCGAAAAAAAAAAAGCUGGACUACGCAGACAAUGGGUAAAGUUCGUCCGUGCAAAGAGGGCUAAUUUUCUAGACCCAGCCUCCGACACUGUUUUCUGUUAUUUUCCACCUAAAAGCUUCUCGAACUAUGGACUAGUGAAAUCCGGUUUUGCUGCAAGAUUGCUGCUCAAAGCAGAUGCGGUGCCCACCAUACACCAGCCACCUAAAUGUCCCGAGAUAUUCAAGAAAGAGGACGAUGACUGGCAAAGGAGGCUAAGGCAAAGCAAAGGAGGGGAGCAGCCAAGCUCGAAAUGACCAGAGUGAGUACUCUUUUAUAAUAAAAAAAUAUCAUGCAUCGGAUACAGGA